AGAUGAAUAGAAACAGCCAGGACAGUCAGAGGACUUGGUCAUUGUUUACUGGAGGACGUGGAGGAGACCCAGCCUCACUCUGUUUCUGCUUCCUCAUCGACAAGAUGGGGACAUUCCCCUUGGGCUUCUCCUUCUCUCUCUGUGAGACAGGAGGCUGGGCUCUACACUGCUGACUCUGCUUCCCAGCUGUGACUCUGGGCAAGCCGCUUCAGCUCUCUGUGUCUCAGUUUCCCCAUCUGCCUCGUGGGCGUUUUACUGUCUCCAUCCUCAGCGUUGCUGUGCUCAGACGGGUGAACAGGGAAGAAGGUGUAGAUCUGGCCCAGUGUCAUCUCCCCUGGCUCCCUGAGGAAUCAGGCGUGGUGUUCCCAUGUGGCGUGCGGGGAGUGGCCUUUGGAAUCGUCUCCCUGGGGAUCUGCUUGAAGACCUUCAGUGGCUCUCCACGCGGAAAAGGGAUCAAGGACCAACCUCAGCCUCCAUCCAAACCCUCUACCACUCAUACAAUUCUUCCCACUCUCCAAGACACACCAACAACCUUCUUCAAACAAGACUUGUGCUUUCCCUCCUCAGACCUUUAGCGAUUUCUCAGUCCCAACUGCAUCUGCCGUUGUCCCUCCAGAUCUGCUCUUCCUCCAACUGUUCUCGAGAUUCGAGAAGGAUAUCUCCCCUGCACCCAGAAGCUGCAGCCUGGAAACUGGGAUGUACUACGCCCACCUCCUUUUCCCUCCCUCCCCACCUUUAUACUAGCCCCGGCCGUGAAGUUCUGUUCCCUGAGAAACCAUCCUCUGUGUCUCUCGAAUGUACCCCAGGACCGUGUGGAACAUGUGGGGACAUUAUGAAACAGCCGCACGCCUUCUCUGUUCUGGGCCCUGUUCUGACACUGGAGGCACAGGGGCGGGGCGGUCUUUACUCCCUGGGGGCGCCAGGCUGGUGAGCAGAGGCUCCUGUAACCACACGCCUGGACUUGCCUCUUCAGUCCCUUUACACUGUAAGCCUUUACACAGUAUAACACAGUGAGACCUCUAAGCACAGGCUGAAGAGAACUGGACUGGCUGAGUCACCACGGGGAAGCCCUUUCUCGAUAAGGGCCUCGUUUUGCCUUCUGCAUACUGGUAUGAAAUUGAUUUGAAGAAGGGAAAGUUCGGGGCUUUUCCAGUUCCAACAAUCUUGAAAGCGAUGUUUCUCCAGGCCAGGAAGCAGGGGGAGAAGGGAGACAGAGGCACAGCUGUUCAGACGCCCAAAGAGGAGGAGGUCCUGCUUCUGCCGGGCAAGCGCCAACUCCCUCGCCCUCACCUCUCCUCCCAAGAAGGGUGUACACCCCUUUGCAAAGCCUUGUGUAGAACAGAGAGGCUGCUGGUUAGCUCCAUCCCUAAGCCCUGCUGGGCCUUCUGACUGGCCCACAGCCGGACCUGGCUGGGGACUGGUUGCUUCUCUAACGUUGGCAAGGAAGCUGGUGUCCAGCCUGGGGAAGGAGAACUCUGGACCUCUGCCCAGUGGCUGCUGCAGCAGAGGGUUCUCGUGUUAGAUAGACUUGGGUUCGAACCCCAGAUCUGCCACUGUUCAGCUGUGAGGCUGUGGCAGUGAAUUUUGUAUACCAAUAUGACUGGUCCACAGCUUUCCCAGGCAGCCUUGGACUUGGCCUGGAAACUAACCCAUUGGCUCUGCCCGGUGUCCAGCUGGCCGACUCGCCCUGCAGAUCUUGCAACUUCCUGGCCUUCAUAAUUGUAGGAGAAACUGAAACCCGGCCCAGAGGUGUUGGAGACUUGGACCCGGCUGGCCCGGCUCUGGAGCUCCGGUGCCAGCGAGUGAAGAGGGGUUGGCUGGGAAGCUUGUGCACUAGUGGAGUGGCCUGACCUCAAAGGUCAUCACCAGGUAGUUGAGUGUGAAGCUAGGUUCCAGAGCCUCAGCACCCAACCUGUGUUCACGCUGUCUCCUCUCCCUGGAACUCCUUUUCUAGCCACCGAAUCCAAAUCCUGCCCCUUCCUGGCCCAGUGCAAGGCCUGAGCCCCACAGAGCAUGAUAACACCUGGCAGUGUUGAACGGCGGAUGGGACUGUAUUCUCACUAGACUUCUGUGAGCUCCUUACAAACUGCACUUCAUCUUGGUACCUUUGGGGCCUGAGACAGUGAACUUCCCUUUACAGUUGCCAUGGUGACCUCCUCUGAGGGCUGGAGGAACAGCAUAAACACAGAAUGUUAGAGCCCUCAGAGAUGGUCUAAUCUUCUCACUUUCUGGGAGGAGAAACUGAGGCCCAGAGAGGUUGACACUUGUUCAAGGAAGUAGUGGAGCCUAGAACCCAGGAGUCUGGACUCCCAAAAUAAUGUGGCUAGAACGUUGUUAGUGCUAGAGCCAGGAUGAGUUCAAAUCCCAGCUUCCCUAUGCUCUGGCUGUGUGACCUGGGCAAGUGACUUAACCUCUCUGAGCUUCAUUCCCUCAUUUGGGUAGAGGGGUUGUAAGGGAGCCUACCUCCCAGGGCUGUUUUGAGAAAUACCUGAAUUAGUCCUGAUAGAGCUCCCAGAAUAGAACCUGGCACCUGAUGGUUCUUCAGGAAUCCUAUCAGUUAUGACCUGUGAGACACAGUGAUGCCGGCCCUGCCCAGUAGGGCCACUGGGGUCCCCUCCACUUCCACACCCCUGCCUACAUGCCUUCCCUUCAGAGUAGCUGAGACAAAAAGGAAGUCACUGUGAUCUUGGGGUGGGGGUAAGAAUCCCCUCUUUUGGAGUCCUGGCUUGGGCUAAGAGGACUCCUCUGUAGGUCAGGGUACCCCCACCCUCACCCUGGUGCCCCACUGGCCUGAAGCCACCAAGGCCAGACUCUGAGUCGCCUGUUUCUGGCUCCCGCUGACAGGUGUGGGGAAACUGCGGACCUAGGAGGGCUCAGGCUGGAGCCAGGCCAAGGCCUCAGCCUUGAGGGCAACAGUGCAGCCCCUCACAGCCCCAGGGCUGGCCAGGACAGCAGCGGGAAUGAUAGCGCGGCAGACACCCAGAAUGUAAAGUCCUUUGUCCUUGGGGGGAAGAUGCUCCAGGGUCAGAGGGCACAAUUCUAGGACUGGCCACCCAGAAGCCUUACUAGGCUGUCCCUUUCAAGAGUCCCUGCCUAGCCCCUGCUCCUAUGAGCCCCUGACCCCCAAGUGUGAAGGCACCUAGGCUGGUGUUCAGAUCCCAGCCUGACCGGGAGGUGGUGGCCAAGCUACUCCACUCCUGCGAGCUCGCUUUCUCGCCUGUGCAAUGGGGAUAAUGAUGCCUUCUUCAGAAUUAGCCAGAAUCUUGUAUCACACGUCAGCUCCUCACCCAGUAGGUGCUCUCUUGGCUGGGCCAUUGCCAGGGCAGCAAGGGUCAGGACUGAGGCACGAUUCCUUUGGAAGUUUGCCAAGCUCUGACCUUAGCCAUCCACGACAGAAGUCAGGCCUUCUGAUCCACCGGGACUCCCAAAACCUGGGCUCGGUCCAGGUUCCGCCCCUCACUAGGCAGCCUAUUAUGUGUCACUCACAUCCUAUGAUCCUGUUUCUCAUCUGCAGACUAGGCACACUAAACCUACAGUGUUUACUGAUUCAGCAAAUUUAUUCUUGUCUGUGUCCUGGGCCCUGGGGACCCAGGAACAAAGAUGCAUGAGACAGCACCUGCCUUCAAGGACCUCCACUGCAGGAGGGGAGGCAUAUAAAACCGGAGACACGUGCGUGGAGAGCCGUAAGAACAGAGCAGGGAGUAGUCAGCUUAGCGCAGGCGGGCAGAGGGAGGCUUCAGAGGGGGGAACAUCUAAGCAACCAAGGCAAGUCACUGGGGACAGUUUUUGUGUCAAAUAAAUGUUUGAAAAACUGGGCUGCCUUUACCUGCUGGGCUACUACCGGAAUCCUUCCUGUUCCUGUGGAAAACAAAGAAAUGCCCUAGAAACCCAGCCCCUGGCCAAGAGUUCCUGGAAGUGGGGGUGGGGGUUGAGGGCGGGGUUUCUUUGAACUGAAGGAAUGCCGCUAGUCUCCUGGAGAGUUGGUGGCAAUGAACUUCUCUGACUUCCUUCAUUCAUUCCGUCAGAUACCAGUGCCUCCUCCUGACCCCGCGCUUCCAGAUGGGGAAGAAGGCAAGAGGCAGACGCAGACAUGGCUCCCCUUCCGGCUGAAGAGGACAAACGAAUAGUCACCACUCAGCACAGCCAUCCUGGGAGCCACUGCUGAGCGCACGUGCUCAUCCUGAAAACAUUAGCUUUUGUUUUUGCCUGUUUAAUUACGUGACACAUCAAACACAGAAAAAUUAGUAAGACCCAAGAAAAAUUUGAAAUAAAAUCUCCCUUAGUUUCACUACUCAGCUAUGACCCCAGUUUAUAGUUUCACCCACAACCUUCCAGAUGCUUUUCUAUGUACACAACCUUAAAGAACCUUAAAAAUACUAACCCCAAUGUGGGGUGGACCUUGGAGCAGAAAGAAUAAUAUUAAUGGAAGAACUGGUAAAAAACAAAUCGAACCUAGUAAUAUACCCACGUUAAUAAUCUCUCAGCUCUGACCGGUGUACCACUUACGUAAGACAUUAACCUUAGGGAAGCCAGAUGUAUACAGAAACUCUCUGUACUACUAUCCUUAGUACUUUUUUGGUAAACUUAAAAUGAUUCCAAAAUAAAAAGCUUCCUUUUAAAAA